ensembl:processed_transcript 5930403N24Rik RIKEN cDNA 5930403N24 gene
GGGUUUCACAGAUAGUGCGCAAGGAUUUUUUUUGGGGGGGGGGUGUUUCUUUCUUUCUUUUCUUUUCUUUUCUUUUUUUUUUUUUUUAAAGCUGCUGCAAUUGUUAAAUCGUCCCACACUGAAAGGUAUUUAAACCACGAAGAUCGAAUUUCAUCUAGCGAAAUCUCCAGUUGGAAUUAGGUCUGUAGGCCAGAUGUGGGAAACGCAAAAACAGCAAACAGCCUAAGCCAUGCUCGUUCCUUUCUCUCCUAGAGGCGUGAAAUAAAAUAUUUUGAAAUUGGUCCUUGGAGCACCUCAAAUAGCGUCUAUCUGACUAUUCCAAUUACCGAUCACUUUUCCACAAAACACUGUGAGGACCAUUUGCAGAAGAUCGAAACUUGCUAGCAUGUUAUCACUGUAAGAAACGACAUCAUUAAUUUUCCUCUGUGGUAAAACUAGACCGAGCCUUGAGUGUACGAAUCCAUAUUUACAGUUGGGAGACAGCUACUCUCGUCGACACGGGUUGUUUUCCUAGCCUGCUGCCAACAUCGGAGGGACUCUCAUUUUGAACUUGUCUGUGCACAGCAUCAAGUGUGCUCCUGGAAGAGAGGCAACAGCGAGGAAAUUCUAAAAGACCGAGUCCUAGUCUCAGAAGAAAUCGCCUGCAAGGUUGAGAGACAGAAAGAAAAUCCCUGGAGACUCCACGUCUAACCCAGGCUAAAGGCAAAGCUUUACAGCGGUGUGUAGGAUCUCUCUCUCGUUCGCUACAGCCCUUGCCACCGAAGUACCAGACGCUUUUAGUGUGUGAAAGACCAGGCGUUGAUUUAAUGUAUCUGGAAGGGAGAGGGGUUAGAGGAUGCAACUUAACAAAUAUUCCUCUAUUCUCGCUCAUGAAAACAUCCAAAACAUCUUUCGGCGUUUGCAUUUAAUGACUGCAACGUGAACGAUGGAGGCGAGAAGCAGUCGAGGGAAUGGCUCGUUUCUCUUAGUGUUGGCUCGGAAUUGUCAAACAGUUACUUUCUGUUCAUUGUAGGGAAAUAGGUCACACUUUGAGUGAAAAGGACAGUUGGUUCAAGCCAAUAACCCUUUGUUCAAGUGCUGUUUGACAGUCCCUGAGCAGAACAUCGUUGCGUGAAGUUUCGUCUCCUGUCCAAUACCUUUAGAUACAUUAUUAAAUCCCAAAGUCAUAUUCCACGGAGCGCCUGGAAGGAAUAUUUCGUCGAAACGCGUCUUGCCAACCAACGUGUUAGCACCCGUAAGGAAGCCUGCUGGACUGGCCCGAGAACCCAGCCGCCAGGAUGGACACGAAUCCCUCAUUAGCAGUUCCAACUUGAAAAGCCAACUGGGCUGAUCCAACACCACCAUCCAGGAGAUUCCCAAAGGCUCAAAAGGCAAUCUGUGCACCCACCCCACGGGAACCUUGCCCCUUCCUCUGCGUCUCCCUCCGGUUUUAAAUUGGGGUGAUUGCUAGUUCGCUUUCGGAUUUUUUCUCCCAGACAUUCGGGGGCUGCUUUUGUGGCUCCUUUGUUAACAGGCUGUCGUGCAGCUUUCCCCCCUUUUCUUUCUCCAAUGCCUAUUUGCCUGGUAUCGGCUCGUCUCCGGGGCAACCGCGGGGAAGAUUCGGAGCCCCAGGCGCCGGGAGGGGGAAGGGGCGGAGCCCGGCGGAGUGGGGGCGGGGAGGGGCGCGAGAGGAGGGGCGGAGGGAGUGGGUCAGGAGGAGACCCCAGGACCCACGAGGAGCAGAUGGCCGCUCCGGGGCGGAGCCCGUGAGCGUCUGGGGAGCGGGAGAGCCAAUCCGUCCCUGCAGCAGCGCGGGAGCGAGCCAACGAGAGUAAACACGCGGGCUGUGCACCCCCCCCCCUCCGUCCCUACUUUGCAGCUGAAGACGUGAUUUCCUUUGGAUAAGAAAGCUCAUUGCCAGUGUGGUUGGAAAGCUGGCGGUCCCCCGGAGAAUGGGUUGGGAGGCGGGUUUGGGCGGAGCUCUGAAAUCUCCCUCUCCCUUUCCUCCCCUCCCACCCCAACUCAGGCACCCACUAAGCCUGGCGGGAAUGGAAGAGGCGGGUGGAUGGGAGAGCGGGGCGGGGCUGGGAAAAGGGAAGAGAUUGACUCUUGCUAUGAACCAUAAGGAAUGCCAGCAAGCUAUUGGAGCUGCUGGUCUUUACCUGCUGCUGUUCCCCUACAGUUUGGUGGUCUCCCCGUAGAGUUAAGGGUUUCGCGGGGUGGGGGGGGAACACCCGCCAAAUGCAUUUAUGUAAGUGAGAUUAAAGAACCCAUAAGGACAUUAAAAAUUGGAAGCAGGAGCCUAUAGCCAACUCAACAGGGAAAACAGACUUUUAUUCUCCAUUUGCACUGUUUAUGGAGGGAUGUGGUGUGUAUGAGUGUACAGAGUCUUACUGCGCAAUACAGGCUGACCUUCAACCCUGUAGAGCCCAGCCUAGUCUAGAACUCAUGAUUCACAGGGUCUACUUCUCAACUGCUAGCGACUAACAGGGGUGUGCUAUUACUGCCAGCUCUGUGCUCCCAUUUAUUCUGACAUGGUGGCACCAUAGCUAAAGGUGCUUGCCUUCAAGUCUGAAAACCUAAAUCCAUCGUCCCAAGACCCAGAUGGUGUGUAGAUAGAACCAACUCUUGAAAAGGUUCCCCGACCGACCCUCACCCCUGGCAAACACUACACAAAAAUUAAACGUAAUAUGAUGUAGUAAUCUGUAUAUGGUCUUCCUUAAUAGAUGCACAUCAAUGCAUCUAAGAUGCACCACAGAAGAAAUCAGAGGUCAGGAUGGUUUAAAAUGUCAGUUUAGGGCAGAAGAGCACUUGCCAUGCAAGCACGAGGACCUGAGUCCAAAUCCACAACACCUGUGUAAAAAGCCAGCCCAGGUGUGUGAGCAAGCCCAGUGCUGGGGGAAGAUCUUUGAGCCUUACUGGCUGACAGUCUAGCUCUAGGUUUAGUGAGAGAGUAAUUAGGCACCUGAUUGUAGAGAGAAUAUCUUGUGUAUUGUAUGGAUACACCACCUGUCAGUUAAAAAGCCAAUGGCCAAUGGCUUAGGCAGGAAAUAGGUGGUGGGACAUCUGGGAGGCAGAAAGAAUUCUGGGAUAGAGCCAGGUGUGGGAGAUUUGCCUGGGAAAUUUUAAAGAGAGGGACACAUGGUACCUGAGCACAGGUAACCAGCCAUGUGACAGAAUGUGGAUUAGAAUAAAUGAGUUAUAUUUAGUUAUGAUCUAAUCAGAAAAGAAAAUAGCAUUAUGGACAAGGUAUUUGUAAAUAUAUUUUGAGUCUGAGUCUUAUUUCUGGGAUCAUGGGGCUGGGAGGAAGAACCAGGCCCAACAUCUAUACCUGAUACCUCCUCUGACCUUCACAUUUAUGGGCAUGGGCCCUCCACACACCAGUGCAUACACCUCUACAUACGCACUUGUUUAUAAAAGUAUGGAAUACUAAGAAUUCUAAGUGCAAAUGUUUUUAAAAUCCAGGUCAUAAGAAUAUGCAACAGAUGGCAGGUAGGGUCCAAAAAUCACUCUGUGUAACUUCUGCUAUAAAAGGAUGAGCAGAAGAGGGGAGACUAAAGAAGACUGAAAAGAAACUCUAAAGUAGUAGGAUAAAAAGUAAAAUCAGGAGUGUAGUCAGGGAAAUCAUUGCAGAUGUGGUACUGAGGAGGAGCAGCUCAUUUUGCCAAAUGCUAGAGGCUAAUCAAAUAAAAUAAAGACUGAAGACAUUAUAGACAUUAUUGCUUUCCUUUUUCUUUUUCCAAAUGAAGCCUGACUCUAAUCCAGGCUGUCCUCGAACCCACCAUGUAGUCCAAACUGUCCUUGUGUUCUCAGCAAUUUUCUUACCUCUGUGCUUCAAGUGCUGGAUUCACAGGCAUAAACUGCCAUAUCCAAACUUCUAGAGCAGUUUUUGUAGCAUGCUGAGAAAGGACACGUGUUUAGGGCUUGAUGUGUUGAGCAUAAAUGGGAAUACACUUUAAAUAAAUAAAUAAAUAAAUAA